GGAGUAACGCGUGGGUACCGUGCCUCAUACAGGGGGAUAACAGUUAGAAAUGGCUGCUAAUACCGCAUAAGACCACAGUACUGCAUGGUACAGUGGUAAAAACUCCGGUGGUAUGAGAUGGACCCGCGUCUGAUUAGGUAGUUGGUGAGGUAACGGCCCACCAAGCCGACGAUCAGUAGCCGACCUGAGAGGGUGACCGGCCACAUUGGGACUGAGACACGGCCCAG
rnacentral:rRNA from 1 species